ACGAACGCUGGCGGCAGGCCUAACACAUGCAAGUCGAACGACACAGUGGCAGACGGGUGAGUAACGCGUGGGAACGUGCCCUUCAGUACGGAAUAGCUUCUGGAAACGGAAGGUAAUACCGUAUACGCCCUCCGGGGGAAAGAUUUAUCGCUGAAGGAUCGGCCCGCGUUAGAUUAGCUUGUUGGUGAGGUAAUGGCUCACCAAGGCGACGAUCUAUAGCUGGUCUGAGAGGAUGAUCAGCCACACUGGGACUGAGACACGGCCCAGACUCCUACGGGAGGCAGCAGUGGGGAAUCUUGCACAAUGGGCGAAAGCCUGAUGCAGCCAUGCCGCGUGAAUGAUGAAGGCCCUAGGGUUGUAAAAUUCUUUCAUCAGGGACGAUAAUGACGGUACCUGAGGAAGAAGCCCCGGCUAACUUCGUGCCAGCAGCCGCGGUAAUACGAAGGGGGCUAGCGUUGUUCGGAAUUACUGGGCGUAAAGCGCGCGUAGGCGGACUGGUAAGUCAGAUGUGAAAUCCCGGGGCUCAACCUCGGAACUGCAUUUGAAACUGUUAGUCUAGAGGCCAGGAGAGGUUAGUGGAAUGCCGAGUGUAGAGGUGAAAUUCGUAGAUAUUCGGUGGAACACCAGUGGCGAAGGCGACUGACUGGACUGGUACUGACGCUGAGGCGCGAAAGUGUGGGGAGCAAACAGGAUUAGAUACCCUGGUAGUCCACACCGUAAACGUUGAGUGCUAGUUGUCGGCAGGCAUGCCUGUCGGUGACGCAGCUAACGCAUUAAGCACUCCGCCUGGGGAGUACGGCCGCAAGGUUAAAACUCAAAGAAAUUGACGGGGGCCCGCACAAGCGGUGGAGCAUGUGGUUUAAUUCGAAGCAACGCGCAGAACCUUACCUACCCUUGACAUGCCCGGUCUGGUUGCCAGAGAUGGCUUCCUUGAUUCGUUCGCCGGUGCACAGGUGCUGCAUGGCUGUCGUCAGCUCGUGUAGUGAGAUGUUGGGUUAAGUCCCGCAACGAGCGCAACCCUCAUCCUUAGUUGCCAUCA
rnacentral:rRNA from 1 species